rnacentral:rRNA from 1 species
CGCUGAGUUUGAUCCUGGCUCAGGAUGAACGCUAGCGGCAGGCUUAACACAUGCAAGUCGAGGGGUAUAGUUCUUCGGAGCUAGAGACCGGCGCACGGGUGCGUAACGCGUAUGCAAUCUACCUUUUACAGAGGGAUAGCCCAGAGAAAUUUGGAUUAAUACCUCAUAGUAUGUGAGAAUCGCAUGGUUUUCACAUUAAAGUUCCAACGGUAAAAGAUGAGCAUGCGUCCCAUUAGCUAGAUGGUAAGGUAACGGCUUACCAUGGCGACGAUGGGUAGGGGUCCUGAGAGGGAGAUCCCCCGACACUGGUACUGAGACACGGACCAGACUCGUACGGGAGGCAGCAGUGAGGAAUAUGGACAAUGGACGCAAGUCUGAUCCCAGCCAUUCCGCGUGCAGGAUCGAAGGCCCUC